AUUGAACGCUGGCGGCAUGCUUUACACAUGCAAGUCGAACGGUAACAGGCCGCAAGGUGCUGACGAGUGGCGAACGGGUGAGUAAUGCAUCGGAACGUGCCCAGUCGUGGGGGAUAACUACUCGAAAGAGUAGCUAAUACCGCAUACGAUCUAUGGAUGAAAGCGGGGGACCGUAAGGCCUCGCGCGAUUGGAGCGGCCGAUGUCAGAUUAGGUAGCUGGUGGGGUAAAGGCUCACCAAGCCAACGAUCUGUAGCUGGUCUGAGAGGACGACCAGCCACACUGGGACUGAGACACGGCCCAGACUCCUACGGGAGGCAGCAGUGGGGAAUUUUGGACAAUGGGCGCAAGCCUGAUCCAGCAAUGCCGCGUGCAGGAAGAAGGCCUUCGGGUUGUAAACUGCUUUUGUACGGAACGAAACGGCUCUGGUUAAUACCCGGGGCUAAUGACGGUACCGUAAGAAUAAGCACCGGCUAACUACGUG
rnacentral:rRNA from 1 species